GUAAGGAAUAUUGGUCAAUGGACGAAAGUCUGAACCAGCCAUGCCGCGUGAAGGAUGAAGGCCCUCUGGGUUGUAAACUUCUUUUAUCUGGGACGAAAAAAGGGUAUUCUUACUCACUUGACGGUACCAGAGGAAUAAGCACCGGCUAACUCCGUGCCAGCAGCCGCGGUAAUACGGAGGGUGCAAGCGUUAUCCGGAUUCACUGGGUUUAAAGGGUGCGUAGGUGGGUAUUUAAGUCAGUGGUGAAAUCUCCGAGCUUAACUCGGAAACUGCCAUUGAUACUAUUUACCUUGAAUGCCCUGGAGGUAAGCGGAAUAUGUCAUGUAGCGGUGAAAUGCUUAGAUAUGACAUAGAACACCAAUUGCGAAGGCAGCUUACUACGGGGUGAUUGACACUGAGGCACGAAAGCGUGGGGAUCAAACAGGAUUAGAUACCCUGGUAGUCC
rnacentral:rRNA from 1 species